CCCGCACAAGCGGCGGAGCAUGCGGAUUAAUUCGAUGCAACGCAAGAACUUACCAAGGCUUGACAUACACCGGUAACGCCCAGAGAUGGGUGCCCCUUUGUGGUCGGUGGACAGGUGGUGCAUGGUUGUCGUCAGCUCGUGUCGUGAGAUGUUGGGUUAAGUCCCGCAACGAGCGCAACCCUCGUCCUAUGUUGCCAGCGGGUCAUGCCGGGGACUCAUGGGAGACUGCCGGGGUCAACUCGGAGGAAGGUGGGGAUGACGUCAAAUCAUCAUGCCCCUUAUGUCUUGGGCUUCACGCAUGCUACAAUGGCCGGUACAAAGGGCUGCGAUACCGCGAGGUGGAGCGAAUCCCAGAAAGCCGGUCUCAGUUCGGAUUGGGGUCUGCAACUCGACCCCAUGAAGUCGGAGUCGCUAGUAAUCGCAGAUCAGCAACGCUGCGGUGAAUACGUUCCCGGGCCUU
rnacentral:rRNA from 1 species